GGGGGAGUGCCGGAACUGGCAGACGGGCUAGACUUAGGAUCUAGUGCAGCAAUGCGUGAGGGUUCGAGUCCCUCCUUCCCCACCA
rnacentral:tRNA from 1 species